CUGUCCUUGGUUUCCUUUUCGAUAGGCUUAAAAUUAGGAAUGGAGCAAGACACCUGGGUAAUGAUCUCUGAACAAGGCUAGAAACUCUACAAGAUGAUGUGCAAACAAGGGAAUCUGACCAAAGACAGAAAAAGAAAACUGACCACAUUUCCUAAAUGCUUCCUUGGAAGUGAAUUUGUGUCAUGGCUCUUGGAAAUUGGAGAGAUUCACAGGCCUGAGGAAGGUGUACACUUAAGACAAGCAUUAUGAGAAAAUGGAAUCAUCCAUCAUGCAAUGGAGGAACUCUCGCUGCUAAAAGCCACCUGAGUGAGCUCAAAAGCAGAUUCUCCCCCCAACAAGCCUGGAGAUGACUGAAGAUCCAGAUGACAUCGUGACUGCAGCCUUGUGAGGGAUCCUGAGCCACAGGACCACCAUGAAUGGGAAGGGGCCUUCAAAGAAGCAAGAGGAGAACAUCUCUUCCAAGCCUGUCACAUGUCAAUAUCCAAACACUCCAGUCACUUCUACCCCCUUGGCAGUCCCAUGGCUUCCAUCAGGACACAGAUACAUUAAUGGACAGGUUUUGGAGCAAACGUGUCCAAUAUACUGACUCACCUCCCCUACCCCAACUCCUGUCAGCUCCUGCUGCCAUGCUGGUUUGCGUUGGAGACUCAGGUGCACCUCCCCCACCCCUAGUCCCUUCAGCUCCUGUUGCCAAGCACUGGUUUGCAUUGGAGUCGGAACCCUCGGAGGGGUUCCAAGCAGUUACUAGUGUCCCAGAGGACCCUGGUGAUCGGAGGCAAAGCCACAAGGCUCUUUGGAGCCAGCUGGUGGCCAUCCAAAUGUCUCCCCACACAGUUCUGGAGCCGCUGUGGGCUACUGGGUUGCUGAUAUACAAAUGUUUACCCCAUGUGCCACGAGUCUCUGGGUUUUGGUGGGAGAUGCUGGUGUGCACUGUCAUGGUGUUGUUCCUUGUAAGGAGUGGACUCAGCCUAAGAAGAAGAAAGGGGCAGUGUUCCCAGAAUGAAGUAUCUGGAAAAGGCAUGGAGAUG